AUUCAUCUGAUGAGUCUCAAAUAGGACGAAAUGCGCAUCUUGGAU
rnacentral:hammerhead_ribozyme from 1 species